rnacentral:rRNA from 1 species
AAAUUGAAGAGUUUGAUCAUGGCUCAGAUUGAACGCUGGCGGCAGGCCUAACACAUGCAAGUCGAACGGUAACAGGAAGCAGCUUGCUGCUUCGCUGACGAGUGGCGGACGGGUGAGUAAUGUCUGGGAAACUGCCUGAUGGAGGGGGAUAACUACUGGAAACGGUAGCUAAUACCGCAUAACGUCGCAAGACCAAAGAGGGGGACCUUCGGGCCUCUUGCCAUCGGAUGUGCCCAGAUGGGAUUAGCUAGUAGGUGGGGUAACGGCUCACCUAGGCGACGAUCCCUAGCUGGUCUGUCACCUAGGCGACGAUCCCUAGCUGGUCUG